rnacentral:rRNA from 1 species
GAUGAACGCUGGCGGCGUGCCUAAUACAUGCCAGUCGAGCGAACAGACGAGGAGCUUGCUCCUCUGACGUUAGCGGCGGACGGGUGAGUAACACGUGGAUAACCUACCUAUAAGACUGGGAUAACUUCGGGAAACCGGAGAUAAUACCGGAUAAUAUAUUGAACCGCAUGGUUCAAUAGUGAAAGACGGUUUUGCUGUCACUUAUAGAUGGAUCCGGGUCGCAUUAGCUAGUUGGUAAGGUAACGGCUUACCAAGGCAACGAUGCGUAGCCGACCUGAGAGGGUGAGCGGCCACACUGGAACUGAGACACGGUCCAGACUCCUACGGGAGGCAGCAGUAGGGAAUCUUCCGCAAUGGGCGAAAGCCUGACGCAGCAACGCCGCGUGAGUGAUGAAGGUCUUCGGAUCGUAAAACUCUGUUAUUAGGGAAGAACAAAUGUGUAAGUAACUAUGCACGUCUUGACGGUACCUAAUCAGAAAGCCACGGCUAACUACGUG